rnacentral:rRNA from 1 species
CCUACGGGUGGCAGCAGUGAGGAAUAUUGGACAAUGGUCGGAAGACUGAUCCAGCCAUGCCGCGUGCAGGAUGAAGGUCUUAUGGAUUGUAAACUGCUUUUGUAAGGGAAGAAUAAGGACUACGUGUAGUUUGAUGACGGUACCUUAUGAAUAAGCAUCGGCUAACUCCGUGCCAGCAGCCGCGGUAAUACGGAGGAUGCGAGCGUUAUCCGGAAUCAUUGGGUUUAAAGGGUCUGUAGGCGGGCUUGUAAGUCAGAGGUGAAAGCGCUCAGCUCAACUGAGCAACUGCCUUUGAAACUGUUGGUCUUGAAUGGUUGUGAAGUAGUUGGAAUGUGUAGUGUAGCGGUGAAAUGCUUAGAUAUUACACAGAACACCGAUAGCGACGGCAUAUUACUAACAAUUAAUUGACGCUGAUGGACGAAAGCGUGGGGAGCGAACAGGAUUAGAUACCCUUGUAGUC